UACGGAGGGUGCAAGCGUUAUCCGGAUUCACUGGGUUUAAAGGGUGCGUAGGCGGGCAGGUAAGUCAGUGGUGAAAUCCUAGAGCUUAACUCUAGAACUGCCAUUGAUACUAUCUGUCUUGAAUAUUGUGGAGGUAAGCGGAAUAUGUCAUGUAGCGGUGAAAUGCUUAGAUAUGACAUAGAACACCUAUUGCGAAGGCAGCUUACUACGCAUAUAUUGACGCUGAGGCACGAAAGCGUGGGGAUCAAACAGG
rnacentral:rRNA from 2 species